AUUGAACGCUGGCGGCAUGCCUUACACAUGCAAGUCGAACGGUAACGCGGGGCAACCUGGCGACGAGUGGCGAACGGGUGAGUAAUGCAUCGGAACGUGCCCAGUAGUGGGGGAUAGCCCGGCGAAAGCCGGAUUAAUACCGCAUACGACCUACGGGUGAAAGCGGGGGAUCGCAAGACCUCGCGCUAUUGGAGCGGCCGAUGUCAGAUUAGGUUGUUGGUGGGGUAAAAGCCUACCAAGCCGACGAUCUGUAGCUGGUCUGAGAGGACGACCAGCCACACUGGGACUGAGACACGGCCCAGACUCCUACGGGAGGCAGCAGUGGGGAAUUUUGGACAAUGGGGGCAACCCUGAUCCAGCCAUGCCGCGUGCGGGAAGAAGGCCUUCGGGUUGUAAACCGCUUUGUCAGGGAAGAAACGCUUUGAGCUAAUACCUCGAGGUAAUGACGGUACCUGAAGAAUAAGCACCGGCUAACUACGUGCCAGCAGCCGCGGUAAAAGUACGUCUAU
rnacentral:rRNA from 1 species